CAAAUUUCCCAUCCACCUUUCCCACCGUUGGCCUUAGCAUCCAAACCCACCUAGUGCCUAACCACUACCAGUAUCACCGACAACAUUCCUCCAGCCUAGUGGCGCUCGCACCAGCUCCCGCACGCUGUUGCUGCCACCUGCCCUGCCUGCUGAUCCAGCCGACGCACCUGCCUGCUGCAUCCGCCCAAGCAGCUGCUUCAUUCUGCUGCUCCCUUGCACCGCAUGCAAGCCUGGAAUCCUGCGCACCAACUAGCAGCCUGCUUCCAAGCACAUCCACCAGUUGACAUGGCAGCAGCUCAGGCUUGGCCCUCACGCACGCACCCGUUUCCACCGCCCAAACAGUUGCGUUAGUUGCUGCCCUUGUGCCGUGCGCACCUCAGCCAUAAAAAUCAAGGCCCUUCUCACUCUUACACCAUAUCAUCAUUAAAAUUUGUCGCUACCAUUAUCACGAUCACCUUCUAUUUGAAAUAUUUUGCUCCCAAUUUAAUUUUUUUUAAGUUCUUAUUUUUCUU
rnacentral:lncRNA from 1 species